GCUGGGAGCAAGGGUUGACAGGAGAGACAGAAGGGAUGACUGCGGAGAGGAGAGGCAGCACAGGCAGCUUUGUGUUGGGAGCGACUCUGUAUGUUGAUUGCACCGGUGCAGGCCGAGGGUGGAGGUGAUACACUGGCAGGGACCUGCACACACCUCUGCCAGGGAGGACAAGGACAGCCUGAUCUGAAAUCAUUUAUGGGACUAAAGGGA
rnacentral:lncRNA from 1 species